GUUUGUCAGUAAUUUGACUUUUGCUUUCAGUACAUUCCUGCUUUUAUUUAUAGUUAUAUUGUGAUUGUAUUGAGUGCAUAUAACAUUCAUGUAUAUGGAAUUGUUAUAUGUGUAUGAAAUUGUUAUAUACAGUGAAGUUCAAAUGUAUUUUGAUAAUGAUAUAUUUUUGUUGUUGUUUUAGCUCUGUACCCCAGCACUUUAUUCAUCCAAUCAGUAGGUUUAAAGUUUUUAUUGGAUUUGUUGGCAGGCCCCUAAGUACUAAAUUCCAUCAAUCACUUCUGGAUAAAACAAAUGCCAGUAAGCAUUUCCCCAUUCAAAACUAAUGAGACACAGUCUUAAAUACAAUCUUGAUACAACAAGGUGAAAAGUCGCUUAACCAUAAUUUCUCCUGGGUUGUUUCUGGAAAAAGAAAAUCUCUGUCUUGUGUACCUGUAAAAUAACAGCAUAGAAAAUAAAACAAUGUAGAGCAGGAAAGGAGUGGGCCCUAGUAUUUACCCUGGUUGGACACAACAGGUUAUGGUGAACUCAAGGAUGAUGUACUGCAUGUGCUUAGAGAUGAACCAGUUUAGGCCAGUCCCAGUGAUGGCAGUGUGCUCUCUAAGGCAUUGCAGUCGAAAGUAGCACUGAUGUCCAGAUGAAUCGGGACAUGGUAGGUCCUGUAUGUGCAGACAUCCGCAGGUACUUUCCAAGUUUCCCCCGAGUCUGUUACAGUACUGUGGAUGGGCCUCUCAGCAGAUUGGAAAAGCCUCAUUAAGUUGGUUGUGAGGUAUUAUUCCAAAGUUUAGUACAUGGUCCAAUAUCGCUAACAAGCAGUUACUACUUAAAACGUGUUACUGUACAAGCUUGUGUGUUUCUAAAGAUGUUUCUAAACAUGUCUACAUUAAUGAGGAUGCUACCAUGACUACUGACGACCCUGAAUGAAUUGGGAGUAAUUAUUAAUGAGAAAAUUAUCAGGAAUAAUAAACAUUAAAAUACCCCACAAAUAAAGCUUAAUUCUAACCUUACAGUGAUGGUAUCAUUUCAAAAGCAAUGUGCUGGUGUACGGAGCAAAAACAACAUAAGUCAUUUCCCAAAUACUUAAGGACCUCAUAGAACUGAUCAAAC
ensembl:lncRNA